UUUAUGGAGAGUUUGAUCCUGGCUCAGGAUGAACGCUGGCGGCGUGCCUAAUACAUGCAAGUCGAGCGAACGGACGAGAAGCUUGCUUCUCUGAUGUUAGCGGCGGACGGGUGAGUAACACGUGGAUAACCUACCUAUAAGACUGGGAUAACUUCGGGAAACCGGAGCUAAUACCGGAUAAUAUUUUGAACCGCAUGGUUCAAAAGUGAAAGACGGUCUUGCUGUCACUUAUAGAUGGAUCCGCGCUGCAUUAGCUAGUUGGUAAGGUAACGGCUUACCAAGGCAACGAUGCAUAGCCGACCUGAGAGGGUGAUCGGCCACACUGGAACUGAGACACGGUCCAGACUCCUACGGGAGGCAGCAGUAGGGAAUCUUCCGCAAUGGGCGAAAGCCUGACGGAGCAACGCCGCGUGAGUGAUGAAGGUCUUCGGAUCGUAAAACUCUGUUAUUAGGGAAGA
rnacentral:rRNA from 1 species